rnacentral:rRNA from 1 species
GACCAACGCUGGCGGCAUGCCUAACACAUGCAAGUCGAACGGACAGAACAGGGAAGCUUUUCGGAGUGGAACUGGAAAGUUAGUGGCGGAUGGGUGAGUAACGCGUGGACAACCUACCUUGUAAAGGGGAAUAACCUCGAGAAAUCGAAGCUAAUACCCCAUAAUAACCUUGCUUCGCAUGAAGUAAGGAGGAAAGGCGGCCUUAGCGCUGUCGAUACAAGAUGGGUCCGCGUCUGAUUAGCUAGUUGGUGAGGUAAAGGCUCACCAAGGCGACGAUCAGUGGCCGGCCUGAGAGGGUGAACGGCCACAUUGGGACUGAGACACGGCCCAAACUCCUACGGGAGGCAGCAGUGGGGAAUCUUCCGCAAUGGGCGAAAGCCUGACGGAGCAAUGCCGCGUGAGUGAAGAAGGCCUUCGGGUUGUAAAACUCUGUCCUUAUCGAAGAGAGAGUGUUGUAGUAACUGACAAUACUAGGACGGUAGAUGAGGAGGAAGCCCCGGCUAACUAUGUG